GACUGGACUAGCGUGUAGUCAGGUGGUAGGCUGGGAGUAGAACUUGGAAGCAAGCACUCACCAUCAGAAUGGACAGAGGUUCGCCUACCCAGCUGGGAGAACCCAGCAGGUUUCCCACACCAGCCAGGAUGAUCAUUCAAAAAUACCAACACGAAAUUGAAAAGGAUGGAACCCUUCCAGACUCUUACCAGAUGCCUGUCACUUUUGAGCCUUUGGACCUGGGAAAGGGGACUACAUCAUCUGCCAGCAAACUAUGGACUCAGAAAGCAUGAGGACAGAGUUCAUGCCUUUGACAAGUAAUAAAGACAUUGUUUAAAAAAAAAAAAGCAAUGGGUAUUUUUAUCCUUGUCAGUCUCUGACAUUUAUGCCAGGAUAUGUAACAUGAAUUCUUCUUCUCCAAUUAGCCACAUGGCUCCUGACCCAAGGUUAUGCUCAUAAAGGAGGCGAAGAGAGUUGAACUUUGCAGAGCAAUGGAUGCUUCAAGCCCACAAAUCCACAAAAAACAUCCCAAUGUGAAAGAGCCUCUGUAUUGACUCCAUGAACAAUUUCUUUUUCGUGUCUCCCUAUUUUCUCUUGCUGUGUGGAGGGUUUUCAAAAGAACCAUCGGGUCAAUAAUAAAUUGACAAAAAAAUGCCUCAAGCCACUUGUCCUGUUAGCCUGUAUAGACUCCUUUAAUUCCCAAAUGAGUGUCUUCGGUAACCUUCCUGUUGUUAGAAGUGAGGAGUACUGAUGUGUGAUGAAUAAAUUGCACCCAUUGGUUAUUGUGUCAGGAACAGAGUUAAAUUACAUGUUUCAAUUGGCAUUUCUUUCUCAAACUUCAUCGCCAAAUGAAGCAUGUGUGAUAUGACUAUGAAAGUCUUCCCUGACUCAGAACAGAGUAAAAUAAAAAACAA